rnacentral:rRNA from 1 species
GACGAACGCUGGCGGCGUGCUUAACACAUGCAAGUCGAACGGAAAGGCCCUGCUUUUGUGGGGUGCUCGAGUGGCGAACGGGUGAGUAACACGUGAGUAACCUGCCCUUGACUUUGGGAUAACUUCAGGAAACUGGGGCUAAUACCGGAUAGGAGCUCCUGCUGCAUGGUGGGGGUUGGAAAGUUUCGGCGGUUGGGGAUGGACUCGCGGCUUAUCAGCUUGUUGGUGGGGUAGUGGCUUACCAAGGCUUUGACGGGUAGCCGGCCUGAGAGGGUGACCGGCCACAUUGGGACUGAGAUACGGCCCAGACCCCUACGGGAGGCAGCAGUGGGGAAUCUUGCACAAUGGGCGGAAGCCUGAUGCAGCAACGCCGCGUGCGGGAUGCCGGCCUUCGGGUUGUAAACCGCUUUCGCCUGUGACGAAGCGUGAGUGACGGUAAUGGGUAAAGAAGCACCGGCUAACUACGUG